GUAGGUGACUAGCGUUGUCCGGAUUUACUGGGCGUAAAGAGCGCGCAGGCGGUCGUGCAAGUCGAGUGUGAAAGCCCCCGGCUCAACUGGGGAGGGUCACUCGAUACUGCUCGACUCGAAGGCGGGAGAGGGAAGUGGAAUUCCCGGUGUAGUGGUGAAAUGCGUAGAUAUCGGGAGGAACACCAGUGGCGAAGGCGACUUCCUGGCCCGUUCCUGACGCUGAGGCGCGAAAGCUAGGGGAGCAAACGGGAUUAGAUACCCCGGUAGUCCUAGCUGUAAACGAUGGACACUAGGUGUUGUGGUAUCAACCCCGCCAGUGCCGAAGCUAACGCAUUAAGUGUCCCGCCUGGGGAGUACGGCCGCAAGGCUA
rnacentral:rRNA from 1 species